AUUGAACGCUGGCGGCAGGCCUAACACAUGCAAGUCGAGCGGAGCGGCGGACGGGUGAGUAAUGCCUAGGAAUCUGCCUGGUAGUGGGGGAUAACGUCCGGAAACGGGCGCUAAUACCGCAUACUACCCGAUGAGCAUAGGUCGGAUUAGCUAGUUGGUGGGGUAAAGGCCUACCAAGGCGACGAUCCGUAACUGGUCUGAGAGGAUGAUCAGUCACACUGGAACUGGGACACGGACCAGACUCGUACGGAAGGCAGCAGUGGGGAAUAUUGGACAAUGGGAGAAAGCCUGAGACAGCCAUGCCGCGGGUGUGAAGAAGGUCUGCGGAUUGUAGAGAACGUUAAGUUGGGAGGCGUUACCAACAGAAUAAGCACCGGCUAACUUCGUGCCAGCAGCCGCGGUAAGAC
rnacentral:rRNA from 1 species